GGCACCCCGUGGCCGGCGCCCCGCGUGACUGCCCGAUGCACCUCCUGGUCAACUUCCCUCCAGCGCCCUCGCGCGCGCAGCGUCCAGCCCAGCCCCGCUCACCCGCGCGCCCGCUGUGCACGCGACCAUCCUGUGACAGCGUGAGGACCACCUAGGCUUUUAUUAUUCCCAUCGGCCUCAGCAACCCUCAGCACCAGGCUCUGUGGGACACUUGCUCCACCUGCCUCCAGGACCUCACACUCUCCUGGAGUUUCUCCUUUGGCUGACCUUCCCUUCUCAGCAUCCUUGGCCUCUGCCCCUUCCUCUUUCCAGAGAAAACUGUAAACUGCAUUGUUUACAAUUGGCAAGAUAUGGAAGCAACCCAAAGUGCCCAUCAAUAGCCCAGCCCCGGAGCCAAGGGCGGAGGAACUCUGAAGCUUGGCAACUCUGGAUGGAAGACAGUGAGAUUCCAAGGCAUUGGAAGUAUUUAUGGAGUACCUUCUCUGAGUCAGGUUCUGUUCUAGAAGUACAUUUUGGGAUACUUAAGUGCAAAAAAACAUACACUGAAGAACCAGGGCCUUCUCCACCUCUGCAGGUUCAUUCACGACAUCCAACGAUGUCUGGGCCUUACUUUCUAAAUCAUUUAGCAUAUCUUUCAGAGUUUUCAACGUUUCCAAAUACGCAUGUCCAGGGAGGAAGAAGGAGAG